AAAUGAUGAAAACUUUGACGAUAUUGACUGCAGUGGCUACGGUUUCUGCUCUUCCUUCUAGUAUCUUAAAAGAUGUAUCAUGUCAAGGAGCUGAAAAUGUGACCAUGUGUGAGGUUGAUUUCCAUGUCUGCAAGAAUCUCUUCAGUGUCGACCAAGAUAAACAGAUUAGGAAACACAGAUACAAGAGCUGCCUCGACGAAAACGGCUUCAACCAACUUGAUGACGGUCAGCUUGCAACAUCGUUUCCGCCACAUCAAUGCUGUAUUAUCACCUCAGUCGAAGGGAGAGACUAUGCUAUAGGCUGUUUUCAGUUCAGUUAGGUUCAGGGAGAUUCGUGAAGAUGUCCUUCACUCGGAC
rnacentral:lncRNA from 1 species